CUGGCGGCGUGCCUAAUACAUGCAAGUCGAACGGUCUUUCUAUGGAAGCUUGCUCCACUGAGAAGAUAGUGGCGAACGGGUGAGUAACACGUGGGUAACCUGCCCAUAAGAGGGGGAUAACAUCCGGAAACGGGCGCUAAUACCGCAUAGUUUUCUUGAUCGCAUGAUCGGGAAAGGAAAGACGGCCUUUGUGCUGUCGCUUAUGGAUGGACCCGCGGCGUAUUAGUUAGUUGGUGAGGUAACGGCUCACCAAGACGAUGAUACGUAGCCGACCUGAGAGGGUGAUCGGCCACAUUGGGACUGAGACACGGCCCAAACUCCUACGGGAGGCAGCAGUAGGGAAUCUUCCGCAAUGGACGAAAGUCUGACGGAGCAACGCCGCGUGAGUGAAAGAAGGUUUUCGGAUCGUAAAACUCUGUUGUCAGAGAAGAACAAGUUGGAGAGUAACUGCUCCAGCCUUGACGGUAUCUGACCAGAAAGCCACGGCUAACUACGUGCCAGCCGCCGC
rnacentral:rRNA from 1 species